rnacentral:rRNA from 1 species
GCCAGACUCCUACGGGAGGCAGCAGUGGGGAAUAUUGCACAAUGGGCGAAAGCCUGAUGCAGCGACGCCGCGUGAGUGAAGAAGUAUUUCGGUAUGUAAAGCUCUAUCAGCAGGGAAGAAAAUGACGGUACCUGACUAAGAAGCCCCGGCUAACUACGUGCCAGCAGCCGCGGUAAUACGUAGGGGGCAAGCGUUAUCCGGAUUUACUGGGUGUAAAGGGAGCGUAGACGGCAGCGCAAGUCUGGAGUGAAAUGCCGGGGCCCAACCCCGGAACUGCUCUGGAAACUGUGAAGCUGGAGUGCAGGAGAGGUAAGCGGAAUUCCUGGUGUAGCGGUGAAAUGCGUAGAUAUCAGGAGGAACACCGGCGGCGAAGGCGGCUUACUGGACUGUAACUGACGUUGAGGCUCGAAGGCGUGGGGAGCAAACGGGAUUAGAUACCCUGGUA